rfam:Hydnomerulius pinastri MD-312 unplaced genomic scaffold scaffold_17, whole genome shotgun sequence.
GGCCGCCUGGCGAAAUGGCAUCGCGUCUGACUACGACUUUUUCGUUUAUCAGGAGAUUGCAGGUUCGACCCCUGCGGUGGUCA